ensembl:snRNA LOC120096740 U6 spliceosomal RNA
AUGUUCCCUUUGGCAGCAUAUAUACUAAAAUUGGAACAAAACAGAGAAGAUCAGCAUGGCUCUUGCACAAGGAUGACAUACAAAUUCAUGAAGCAUUUCAUAUUUUU